ACGGUCCUAAGGUAGCGAAAUUCCUUGUCAGGUAAGUUCUGACCCGCACGAAAGGUGUAAUGAUCUGGGCACUGUCUCAACCGUGGACUCGGUGAAAUCUUAAUACCUGUGAAAAUGCAGGUUACCCGCAUCAGGACGGAAAGACCCCAUGGAGCUUUACUGUAGCUUGAUAUUGAAGUUCGGUACAUUAUGUAGAGGAUAGGUGGGAGACUAUGAGACUAAGACGCCAGUCUUAGAGGAGUCAACCUUGGAAUACCACCCUUAAUGUAUUGGAUUUCUAACCUAGACCCAUAAUCUGGGCCAGGGACAGUGUCUGGUGGGCAGUUUGACUGGGGCGGUCGCCUCCCAAAAAGUAACGGAGGCGCCCAAAGGUUCCCUCAGAAUGGUUGGAAAUCAUUCAUAGAGCGUAAAGGUAUAAGGGAGCUUGACUGCGAGACCAACAAGUCGAGCAGAUACGAAAGUAGGGCUUAGUGAUCAGACGAUUCAGAAUGGAAUGGUCGUCGCUUAACGGAUAAAAGUUACCCUGGGGAUAACAGGCUGAUACCACCCAAUAGUUCACAUAGACGGUGGUGUUUGGCACCUCGAUGUCGGCUCGUCACAUCCUGGAGGUGAAGUCGCUUCCAAGGGUUGGGCUGUUCGCCCAUUAAAGUGGCACGCGAGCUGGGUUCAGAACGUCGUGAGACAGUUCGGUCCCUAUCCGAUGUGGGCGUAGGAAAAUUGAAGAGAGCUAUCCUUAGUACGAGAGGACCGGGAUGGACAAACCUCUGGUGUAUCUGUUGUAGCGCCAGCUGCAGUGCAGAGUAGCUAUGUUUGGAAUGGAUAACCGCUGAAAGCAUCUAAGCGGGAAGCCAACUUUGAGAUGAGUUUUCCCAUACGUAUGUAGUAAGAUCCCAAAAAGACGAUUUGGUUGAUAGGCUGGAGAUGGAAGAAUGGUGACAUUUUGAGUUGACCAGUACUAAUAGAUCGAGGAUUUAAUCAU
rnacentral:rRNA from 1 species